rnacentral:rRNA from 1 species
UAGGGAAUCUUCGGCAAUGGGCGAAAGCCUGACCGAGCAACGCCGCGUGAAUGAAGAAGGCCUUCGGGUUGUAAAAUUCUGUUAUAAGGGAAGAAAGGUGAUAGGAGGAAAUGACUAUCAAUUGACGGUACCUUAUGAGAAAGCCACGGCUAACUACGUGCCAGCAGCCGCGGUAAUACGUAGGUGGCAAGCGUUAUCCGGAAUUAUUGGGCGUAAAGAGCGCGCAGGUGGUUAAUUAAGUCUGAUGUGAAAGCCCACGGCUUAACCGUGGAGGGUCAUUGGAAACUGGUUGACUUGAGUGCAGAAGAGGGAAGUGGAAUUCCAUGUGUAGCGGUGAAAUGCGUAGAGAUAUGGAGGAACACCAGUGGCGAAGGCGGCUUCCUGGUCUGUAACUGACACUGAGGCGCGAAAGCGUGGGGAGCAAACA